UUCUGUCUAUAGGACUUAUCUAUAUCCUAAGAUUAUUGUGACUACAUGUAGGUAUAAAUCUUGGCAUUCUCUGUCUCUUGAUAUCCAACUGUCCCAUUUUAGUGGGGACAAUCCUGUUUAAUCCUCUGAUGUCCCGUUUCUCAAACUACAUUUAAAAUGUCCCAGUUUGUUUCUCUUCCUCUCACUUUGUCCCAUUGUCCUCAGGUUACUUCAACUGCUGCAAAGUGAAUUCAAAGUGCAAAAGUAGUUUGCAAGUUGGAAAAUGCGAACUAUUACACUCUCAUGCGGACUGCAUUCUGGUACAGAGGUGGUCAGGAGUGGGCACCCUGGGCUGACAAUUAUGAUGGUAAUUAUGAUGAUGUCAUCAGUGGAAGCUUGAUUUGUUUCUAGGAACAUCUGGUAAUGAGCUAAAAGCUUACCAAGAGACUAAUCCAAAAAAGAAAGAAAGAAAGAAAGAAAGAAAGAAAGCCAGCCAGCCAGCUUGCCUGCUCUUCUUUGGAAAACAUUACAUGUAGAAUCAAGCUUUUCUGAAAGAACUUUUUGUGAAAAAAGAAAACAAAAUUAACGUUAACCUGUGAAAAUGAAGGGUUUAAAUAAAUAAAUAAAAAGUCAA